rnacentral:rRNA from 1 species
CGACGGGUGAGUAACACGUAUGGAACCUGCCCUAUGCAGGGGAUAGCGGAAGAAAUUCCGUCUAAUACCGCAUAACAUCAUUUGGAGACAUCUUCAGGUGGUCAUAGGAGGCGACUCCGGCAUAGAAUGGCCAUGCGUCGCAUUAGCUAGUCGGCGGGGUAACGGCCCACCGAGGCUACGAUGUGUAGGGGUUUUGAGAGGAAGGUCCCCCACACUGGUACUGAGACAGGGACCAGACUCCUACGGAAGGCAGCAG